rnacentral:rRNA from 1 species
AUUGAACGCUGGCGGCAUGCUUUACACAUGCAAGUCGAACGGUAACAGGUUAAGCUGACGAGUGGCGAACGGGUGAGUAAUGCAUCGGAACGUGCCCGGUCGUGGGGGAUAACGCAGCGAAAGCUGCGCUAAUACCGCAUACGAUCUGAGGAUGAAAGCGGGGGACCGUAAGGCCUCGCGCGAUCGGAGCGGCCGAUGUCAGAUUAGGUAGUUGGUGGGGUAAAGGCUCACCAAGCCGACGAUCUGUAGCUGGUCUGAGAGGACGACCAGCCACACUGGGACUGAGACACGGCCCAGACUCCUACGGGAGGCAGCAGUGGGGAAUUUUGGACAAUGGGCGCAAGCCUGAUCCAGCAAUGCCGCGUGAGUGAGGAAGGUUUUCGGACCGUAAAGCUCUGUCGAGCGGGAAGAAGUGCAUGGUGGCUAAUAUCCAUCAUGCUUGACGGUACCGCUAAAGGAAGCACCGGCUAACUCCGUGCC